rnacentral:rRNA from 1 species
UGGGGAAUAUUGCACAAUGGGCGCAAGCCUGAUGCAGCCAUGCCGCGUGUAUGAAGAAGGCCUUCGGGUUGUAAAGUACUUUCAGUCGGGAGGAAGGUGGUAAGGUUAAUAACCUUAUCAAUUGACGUUACCGACAGAAGAAGCACCGGCUAACUCCGUGCCAGCAGCCGCGGUAAUACGGAGGGUGCAAGCGUUAAUCGGAAUUACUGGGCGUAAAGCGCACGCAGGCGGUUGAUUGAGUCAGAUGUGAAAUCCCCGGGCUUAACCCGGGAAUUGCAUCUGAUACUGGUCAGCUAGAGUCUUGUAGAGGGGGGUAGAAUUCCAUGUGUAGCGGUGAAAUGCGUAGAGAUGUGGCGGAAUACCGGUGGCGAAGGCGGCCCCCUGGACGAAGACUGACGCUCAGGUGCGAAAGCGUGGGGAGCAAACAGG